GGCCUAUUCUAAGGAAAUUUCAAUAUUGCACACUUCAGAGCAGGCGUAAUCAAUGACGUCACCCUGUGACGUCAUCCAGGGCCGCAGCUAGCAUGUAUAGUUGGGGGUGGGAGUGUAGGCCAAACAUUUCCGAUUGACGAAAAAAUUUCCAAAUAUUUCAUGGCAUACGAAGUCACGAAGGCGUUUGCUAUCCGGAAAAUGAAGAUGCAAUUUACAAACAAAAAUACGCAUAUUUUACGCACAGACAUAUUACAGAAGCAUACAGUGCCGUAGGGAGCUCUUUUUGAUUGGG